GAUGGUAGUGUAUUGGACUACCAUGGCAGUUACGGGUAACGGAGAAUUAGGGUUCGGUUCCGGAGAGGGAGCCUGAGAAACGGCUACCACAUCUAAGGAAGGCAGCAGGCGCGUAAAUUACCCAAUCCCGAUUCGGGGAGGUAGUGACAAGAAAUAACAACCUGGGGGACUCUGUCCUUACGGGAUUGCAAUGAGAACAAUUUAAACGACUUAUCGAGGAACAAUUGGAGGGCAAGUCUGGUGCCAGCAGCCGCGGUAAUUCCAGCUCCAAUAGCGUAUAUUAAAGUUGUUACAGUUAAAAAGCUCGUAGUUGAACUUCUGUACGUGCCCGGUUCUGGCUUCGGUCAAGCUGUGGUGCGUGCAUCCGCUUGCAAACCUGGCCCGGCCUUUACUGGUCGACCAGGGGAGUAGGCCUUUUACUUUGAAAAAAUUAGAGUGUUUCAAGCAGGCAAUGGCUCGAAUACAUUAGCAUGGAAUAAUGGAAUAGGACUUUUGUCCAUUUGGUUGGUUAUUGGACAUGAGUAGUGAUUAACAGGGACAGUUGGGGGCAUUAGUAUUUAAUUGUCAGAGGUGAAAUUCUUGGAUUUAUUAAAGACUAACCUAUGCGAAAGCAUUUGCCAA
rnacentral:rRNA from 1 species